rnacentral:rRNA from 1 species
GACGAACGCUGGCGGCGUGCUUAACACAUGCAAGUCGAGCGGAGCGGCGAACGGGUGAGUAACGCGUGAGUAACUGACCCCCUCUUGGGGAAACCAGUUGGAAACGGCUGCUAAUACCGGAUAGUGGGGGAUGACUCGCGUCCAAUCAGCUUGUUGGUGGGGUAGUGGCAGACCAAGGCGAGGACGGGUAGCCGGCCUGAGAGAGCGAACGGCCACAUUGGGCUAAGAUACGGCCCAGAAUGCUACGGGAGGCAGCAGUGGGAAAUAUUGCACAAGGGGGGAAACCCAGGUGCGGAAGCGCCGGGUGCGUAAUGCCGGCUUUCUAGAUGUGAACAGCUUUCAUACAUACCGCGGUAGUGGCCGAAAAAGCACCGGCUAACUACGUGCCAGCAGCCGCGGUAAUAC